AGCGGCGAAAGGGAGAGUAACGCGUGGAUUACCUACCCUGAGGCCCGGGAUAGCUGCGGGAAACUGCAGGUAAUACCGGAUAACGUCCCUGGACCAAAGGUGCGAUUCCGCCUCGGGAUGGGUCCGCGUCCUAUUAGCUUGUUGGUGGGGUAAUGGCCUACCAAGGCGACGAUGGGUAGCGGGUGUGAGAGCAUGACCCGUCUCACUGGGACUGAGACACUGCCCAGACACCUACGGGUGGCUGCAGUCGAGAAUCUUCCGCAAUGGACGAAAGUCUGACGGAGCGACGCCGCGUGCGGGAUGAAGGCCUUCGGGUUGUAAACCGCUGUCGAAGGGGAGCAAAUGCUUGGGGGUACUCCCCCAGGUUUGAGCGAUCCUUGGAGGAAGUCCGGGCUAAGUUCGUGCCAGCAGCCGCGGUAAGACGAACCGGACGAACGUUAUUCGGAAUUACUGGGCUUAAAGAGUGCGUAGGCGGCCUAGAAGGUGGGGUGUGAAAUCCCACGGCUCAACCGUGGAAUGGCGCUCCAAACCACUAGGCUCGAGGGAGGUAGGGGUAAGCGGAACUGAUGGUGGAGCGGCGAAAUGCGUUGAUAUCAUCAGGAACACCAGUGGCGAAGGCGGCUUACUGGACCUCUUCUGACGCUGAGGCACGAAAGCUAGGGGAGCGAACGGGAUUAGAUACCCCGGUAGUCCUAGCUGUAAACGAUGAGCACUUGAUUGAGGGGG
rnacentral:rRNA from 1 species